rnacentral:rRNA from 1 species
CCUACGGGAGGCAGCAGUGAGGAAUAUUGGUCAAUGGGCGCGAGACUGAACCAGCCAAGUAGCGUGAAGGAUGACUGCACUACGGGUUGUAAACUUCUUUUAUAAAGGAAUAAAGUGAGGCACGUGUGCCUUUUUGUAUGUACUUUAUGAAUAAGGAUCGGCUAACUACGUGCCAGCAGCCGCGGUAAUACGGAGGAUCCGAGCGUUAUCCGGAUUUAUUGGGUUUAAAGGGAGCGUAGAUGGGUUGUUAAGUCAGUUGUGAAAGUUUGCGGCUCAACCGUAAAAUUGCAAUUGAUACUGUCAGUCUUGAGUACAGUUGAGGUAGGCGGAAUUCGUGGUGUAGCGGUGAAAUGCUUAGAUAUCACGAAGAACUCCGAUUGCGAAGGCAGCUUACUAAACUGCCACUGACAUUGAUGCUCGAAAGUGUGGGUAUCAAACAGGAUUAGAUACCCCUGUAGUC